UAGAGUUUGAUCCUGGCUCAGAUUGAACGCUGGCGGCAGGCCUAACACAUGCAAGUCGAACGGUAACAGGAAGAAGCUUGCUUCUUUGCUGACGAGUGGCGGACGGGUGAGUAAUGUCUGGGAAACUGCCUGAUGGAGGGGGAUAACUACUGGAAACGGUAGCUAAUACCGCAUAACGUCGCAAGACCAAAGAGGGGGACCUUCGGGCCUCUUGCCAUCGGAUGUGCCCAGAUGGGAUUAGCUAGUAGGUGGGGUAACGGCUCACCUAGGCGACGAUCCCUAGCUGGUCUGAGAGGAUGACCAGCCACACUGGAACUGAGACACGGUCCAGACUCCUACGGGAGGCAGCAGUGGGGAAUAUUGCACAAUGGGCGCAAGCCUGAUGCAGCCAUGCCGCGUGUAUGAAGAAGGCCUUCGGGUUGUAAAGUACUUUCAGCGGGGAGGAAGGGAGUAAAGUUAAUACCUUUGCUCAUUGACGUUACCCGCAGAAGAAGCACCGGCUAACUCCGUGCCAGCAGCCGCGGUAAUACGGAGGGUGCAAGCGUUAAUCGGAAUUACUGGGCGUAAAGCGCACGCAGGCGGUUUGUUAAGUCAGAUGUGAAAUCCCCGGGCUCAACCUGGGAACUGCAUCUGAUACUGGCAAGCUUGAGUCUCGUAGAGGGGGGUAGAAUUCCAGGUGUAGCGGUGAAAUGCGUAGAGAUCUGGAGGAAUACCGGUGGCGAAGGCGGCCCCCUGGACGAAGACUGACGCUCAGGUGCGAAAGCGUGGGG
rnacentral:rRNA from 1 species